AGUUAGGGUUCCAUCCCAGCAUUUUACAGCGGCAGCGAUGUUUGAUAGAUUUAGGGUUAAUUUAUCGUCUUUCUCCCCGGUCUCUUGAUCGUAGAGAUUGUGAAUUUCAUGGGACUGAAGUUUGGCUCUUUGGUCAAUUUCGUAUGCCGUAGAGAUGAAUGCAGUUCCCUAAAUCAUCUCUUUAACCUCUUCACCCAUUUUCGCUAAGGUUUUUUCUCCUUGUGAAUAUCUUUGUUGAGGCUGAUACAUUAUUUAUCAUUCUUCAAUUCACAUCUCUAUCUGAUUUGUCUCUGUAAUUCUAAAUUUUGAAUCGAUGUUAGAAGUACGAUUUUGUUCUAAAUGAUUGGAGUUUUGGUUCCGAGUAGUAAUUCAGGCAGCCUCUCUGCAAUUUCCAUGGCAAAGGAGGCGUUAAACUGCUCGUAAAUCGAAUCGCUUAUGCUCUUCAGACUUGCUGAGGUUUCCUCUGAAGCUCGUCUAGUAAGUUUAAGUACAUUUGUUUUCUGGACAUACGUUUAACGGAUUCUGAGUCGCUGUUCUUGCUUGAUUUCACAUUAUGCUUUUUCUUCAUAACCUAUGAUCAUUUAGCUGAGUACUGAGUACUGGUUGUUAAAUUAGAAUAUAUCUUGCAGACGCAGAUUAUUCAAUGACCUUCUAGUGUUGGAGGAACCAGUGGAUGGUGGAUUAAUCCGGAAUUUUGUUAGAGGAGCGACAGAGGUAGUCGAGUUACAUUCAAAAACACUUCUAAAAAAUUGAUUUGGUGCAUUAGUCUUCAUGAAAGUUUGAUUGUAGGACUUUCUAGACCUAGACCGACCUGGAUUUUGGUUCUCAAAAUUAUUCUAAAACUUCUUUAGAUUAUAGACCAAUAACGGUGGUUGAAUUCAAAAUGAACCAUGUCAGUACAUGUAAUUCAUGUGCACAUUGCCACAAAUGAUCUCAUAAUAUUUCAAAUAGAUUCAUACUUUGUAAAGUUGAAUCAACUGGUUGAUCUAAAUUUGGGUAAUCAAAUUGUUGAAUUGGAUGGUUAUGAACAAAAACUGAAUUGGUAUGUGAGCCAAAUUUUUGUAAAUCACAUUUUUUGUUUAUGCAAGUACACAUAGUGAUGAUGCCAGCAUGGAAAAUAAUUUGAAGCUGAAGAUGGAGAACGACCAUAUCUCAGCCUUUGUGUGGUGGUUUUUUUUGGGGCUUUUCUUUCCAGAAACAGGUUAUUGUAGUUAUGAGAUUAAGAUUUUAAGGUCAUUUCUUCCGUUUGCUCUACCUUUCUAAUUUUUGUAGCCUUUGCAUAGUUGCGAUGAUGUUAACAACUACCAAUGGUGUGUCUUGUUUGUGAAGGCUUUUCAAUUUCGAAAACAAGAACCUGACGAGACUGGUAUGAGCUCGCCCUUCUAAGGCCUUUAAUUUACUCUGUGGGGAGACCUAGAAUUUCGACAUGGUCGCUUGUGCUUUGAAGGCCUAUGAUUUACUCUGUGGGAGAAGAAAAUUCUGAGGGUUGAAUAUUUCAAUGAAUGAACUAAGAUCAACAAAA